UACGUAGGGUGCGAGCGUUGUCCGGAAUUAUUGGGCGUAAAGAGCUCGUAGGCGGUGUGUCACGUCGGCCGUGAAAACCUGCAGCUUAACUGUGGGCGUGCGGUCGAUACGGGCAUCACUGGAGUUCGGCAGGGGAGACUGGAAUUCCUGGUGUAGCGGUGAAAUGCGCAGAUAUCAGGAGGAACACCGGUGGCGAAGGCGGGUCUCUGGGCCGAUACUGACGCUGAGGAGCGAAAGCAUGGGGAGCAAACGGG
rnacentral:rRNA from 1 species